rnacentral:rRNA from 1 species
GACGAACGCUGGCGGCGUGCCUAACACAUGCAAGUCGAGCGAAUGAAGUUCCUUCGGGAAUGGAUUUAGCGGCGGACGGGUGAGUAACACGUGGGCAACCUGCCUCCUAGAGGGGAAUAGCCUCCCGAAAGGGAGAUUAAUACCGCAUAAGAUUGUAGUACCGCAUGAUACAGCAAUUAAAGGAGCAAUCCGCUAUGAGAUGGGCCCGCGGCGCAUUGGCUAGUUGGUGAGGUAAUGGCUCACCAAGGCGACGAUGCGUAGCCGACCUGAGAGGGUGAUCGGCCACAUUGGGACUGAGACACGGCCCAGACUCCUACGGAAGGCAGCAGUGGGGAAUAUUGCACAAUGGGGGAAACACUGAUGCAGCAGCGCCGCGUAGGUGAGGACGGCGUUCGGGUUGUAAAGCUCUGUCUUCAGGGACGAUAAUGACGGUACCUGAGGAGGAAGCCACGGCUAACUACGUG